CCUACGGGUGGCUGCAGUAGGGAAUUUUCCACAAUGGGCGAAAGCCUGAUGGAGCAACGCCGCGUGCAGGAUGAAUGCCUUCGGGUUGUAAACUGCUUUUAAUAGUGACGAAUAUGACGGUAGCUAUUGAAUAAGCAUCGGCUAAUUCCGUGCCAGCAGCCGCGGUCAUACGGAAGAUGCAAGCGUUAUCCGGAAUUACUGGGCGUAAAGAGUUGCGUAGGCGGCAUGGUAAGUCAGCAGUGAAAGCGUGGGGCUCAACCCCAUACACAUUGUUG
rnacentral:rRNA from 1 species